ensembl:lincRNA
CUGAGAAACUGGAUUUUUGACCCUCUUUCUUCACCUCAGAAUUUUUGGCCUUUGGGGGUAAGUUUGCAUAGACCUGCUUACCACAGAAUAAUCAUUAACAGGAGUAACUCUAGAAAGCUGACCCUGAGGAUUCUAGAACUGUUUACUCACUGAUUAAAAAGUAAUAAAGAUUCCCCUACCAGUACGGAGUGAAAUUGUGAUAACUCCUGGCACAACCAUUAAGACCCUCAUCUAUAGUGAAUUGGAACAAAGCACAGGUUAAAAAGAAGAAUGAAAACCCCUCAAGCCAGAUUUUAUGACUUUUUAUAUCACACUGAAAAGUCCAAUGAACUACAGAUUUGAACCAUGGAGAUUUGUGCCCUACUAUGAAACGGUGACUGUAACACAGAUUGAUGAAAGAUUCUGCAGGACGACAAAGGUUAAAGAUGCAGACCCGGAGCUAGAAGCCAGCACUGACACUGAUGGAGUGGACUGCGAUGAGAAUUCCCACAUUAUUGUCCUAUCCUCUGAUAACCAAUGUAAUAUGAAAACCGACUACAGAAGAAAGGAACAAAUUAAAUCCAUUAAUCAAGCAUAUCUCUGCUAA